UGGGGAAUCUUGCGCAAUGGGCGAAAGCCUGACGCAGCAACGCCGCGUGUGUGAUGAAGGUCUUCGGAUCGUAAAGCACUGUCGGGAGGGACGAAUAAGGCGGCGGCUAACAUCCGCAGCUGAUGACGGUACCUCCAAAGGAAGCACCGGCUAACUCUGUGCCAGCAGCCGCGGUAAUACAGAGGGUGCAAGCGUUGUUCGGAAUUAUUGGGCGUAAAGCGCGUGUAGGCGGUCCUGCAAGUUGGGUGUGAAAGCCCUCGGCUUAACCGAGGAAGUGCGCCCAAAACUACAGAACUUGAGUACCGGAGAGGGUGGCGGAAUUCCCGGUGUAGAGGUGAAAUUCGUAGAUAUCGGGAGGAACACCAGUGGCGAAGGCGGCCACCUGGACGGAUACUGACGCUGAGACGCGAAAGCGUGGGUAGCAAACA
rnacentral:rRNA from 1 species